rnacentral:misc_RNA from 1 species
GUGAGUCAUCGAAUCUUUGAACGCACCUUGCGCUCCUUGGUAUUCCGAGGAGCAUGCCUGUUUGAGUGUCACGUUAAUACAUCACCCCCCUUUGGUCACCUGAAGGGGUGCGUGGACUUGGACCGUGCCGUUGUUCGGCUCAUCCUGAAAUGUAUUGGCCCCGUUUGAGCUUGCCUCCCUGGUGUGAUAGUCAUCUACGCCUCUGGAGAAGAGUGUCUUGGAGCCUUACCGUCCUCGGACAAUAUCAUUGAUCUCUGACCUCAAAUCAGGUAGGACUACCCGCUGAACUUAAGCAUAUCAAUAAGCGGAGGA